ACUCGUUUCAUUCGCUCGCGAAAGCUAAUAGGAAGCGCUUGUUAGCGCGUUUUUAACUGA
rnacentral:misc_RNA from 1 species